CCUACGGGAGACAGCAGUGAGGAAUAUUGGUCAAUGGGCUUACGCCUGAACCAGCCAAGUCGCGUGAGGGAAGACUGCCCUAUGGGUUGUAAACCUCUUUUGUCAGGGAGCAACGCCGGCUACGUGUAGCCGUACUGAGAGUACCUGAAGAAAAAGCAUCGGCUAACUCCGUGCCAGCAGCCGCGGUAAUACGGAGGCUGCGAGCGUUAUCCGGAUUUAUUGGGUUUAAAGGGUGCGUAGGCGGAAUGCCAAGUCAGCGGUAAAAUCUCGGGGCUCAACCUCUCUCCGGCGUUGAAACUGGCGUUCUUGAGUGCGCGAGAAGUAUGCGGAAUGCGUGGUGUAGCGGUGAAAUGCAUAGAUAUCACGAAGAACUCCGGUUGCGAAGGCAGAUCACUGGACUGCAACUGACACUGAUGCGCGAAAGUGUGGGUAUAAAACAGGAUUAGAUACCCCAGUAGUC
rnacentral:rRNA from 1 species